rnacentral:snRNA from 1 species
UUAAGGUGGAGGGAUACGGUGAUCCAGGAGGUGGCUUUCCCAAGGAAAGGCUCAUGCAUCGCAUUCAGGAUGUCCUGACUCCUAAACUUCCCAGUACAGAAACGACACUGUAAAUUGUGAUACUAGGAGAGUGUGUUCAUGUUCUCCAG